rnacentral:rRNA from 1 species
GACGAACGCUGGCGGCGUGCCUAAUACAUGCAAGUCGAACGAGAGCGACCGGUGCUUGCACUGGUCAAUCUAGUGGCGAACGGGUGAGUAACACGUGGGUAACCUGCCCAUCAGAGGGGGAUAACAUCCGGAAACGGAUGCUAAAACCGCAUAGGUCUUCGAGUCGCAUGGCUUGAAGAGGAAAAGAGGCGCAAGCUUCUGCUGAUGGAUGGACCCGCGGUGCAUUAGCUAGUUGGUGAGGUAACGGCUCACCAAGGCCGUGAUGCAUAGCCGACCUGAGAGGGUGAUCGGCCACAUUGGGACUGAGACACGGCCCAAACUCCUACGGGAGGCAGCAGUAGGGAAUCUUCCGCAAUGGACGCAAGUCUGACGGAGCAACGCCGCGUGAGUGAAGAAGGUUUUCGGAUCGUAAAACUCUGUUGUUAGAGAAGAACAAGUGCUAGAGUAACUGUUAGCGCCUUGACGGUAUCUAACCAGAAAGCCACGGCUAACUACGUG